rnacentral:rRNA from 1 species
UGGCCGCGGGAUUAGAGUUUGAUCAUGGCUCAGGAUGAACGCUAGCGGCGUGCCUAAUGCAUGCAAGUCGAACGGGAGGGAAGAAUUUCGGUUCAUCCCGAGAGUGGCGAACGGGUGCGUAACACGUAGAUGACCUGCCCUGGAGAGGGGGACAACCACGGGAAACUGUGGCUAAUACCCCGGAUGUCUGAGAGAUUAGAGGCUUUCAGACUGAAGGCUCCGGCGCUCUGGGAGGGGUCUGCGGCCCAUCAGCUAGUUGGUAGGGUAACGGCCUACCAAGGCAAAGACGGGUAGGGGGCGUGAGAGCGUGGCCCCCCACACUGGUACUGAAACACGGACCAGAUACCUACGGGUAGCAGCAGCAAGGGAUAUUGCGCAAUGGGCGAAAGCCUGACGCAGCAACGCCGCGUGGAGGACGAAGGCCUUCGGGUCGUAAACUCCUUUUCUGGAAGGAUAAGGCCUGUCCGCGAGGGCAGGUUUGAAGGUACUCCAGGAAGAAGAACCGGCUAACUACGUGCCAGCAGCCGCGGUAAAACGUAGGGUUCGAGCGUUAUCCGGAAUUACUGGGCGUAAAGGGCGUGUAGGCGGACAAGGAAGUCGGACGUAAAAGCUCCCGGCCCAACUGGGAGAGGCCGUUCGAAACUCCUUGACUCGAGGCUAGUAGAGGCAAGUGGAAUUCCCGGUGUAGUGGUGAAAUGCGUAGAUAUCGGGAGGAAGACCAGAGGCGAAGGCGGCUUGCUGGGCUAGACCUGACGCUGAGACGCGAAAGCCAGGGGAGAGAACGGGAUUAGAAACCCCGGUAUUCCUGGCAGUAAACGAUGUCAACUAGGUGCGUGGGGUACCC